rnacentral:rRNA from 1 species
UACAGAGGUGGCAAGCGUUGUUCGGAAUUACUGGGCGUAAAGGGCGCGUAGGCGGCCUUCUUAGUCGGACGUGAAAUCCCCAGGCUCAACCCGGGAACUGCGUCCGAUACUGGGAGGCUUGAAUCCGGGAGAGGGAUGUGGAAUUCCAGGUGUAGCGGUGAAAUGCGUAGAUAUCUGGAGGAACACCGGUGGCGAAGGCAGCCCCCUGGGAUAACACUGACACUCAUACACGAAAGCGUGGGGAGCAAACAGG